UUCUAGUUGUUUGGAAAGAAAGACCGGACCUUUUCCUUUAAAAUCAAAUUUUCUUGUUGAAAUUUCUUAAGAGGGAGGCUCAAGAUGUUUUUCUUGUACAUUUCGAUGACUUGGUUCUUCUUUUUCUUGUACAUUUCGAUGACUAGGUUCUCCUUUUUCCAUUUGACCUCUUCUUCGUUUGUUUCUACCUUGAACAUCCUCCUCCAUCUCAUCCUCCGCUUCAUAGGAUUUUUGCAACAACUCAAAACCCGAAGGAUCUCUUUUCUUUGUAUCUUCCAACAAUUCUCUUACCGUUUUCUUUAUUACAGUACUCUUUUUUUUCGUAGAAGGCCUCCCCUUUAUCUUCCUCUUAGGUGGUUCCUUCAUGUCGUUCCUAAUUUGUGGGUAUACGAAGUUAAUCAACCAUAUUUUCCUUUGCCCCCGUGUUAAUGUAUCAUAUUUUUCUGCUAGCGCUUUUCCGAUGUCGGUAUCGGCAAAUGUACCUCCAAAAUCUUGAUCAACUAUUGUUUCAUGGAAUGAUAAUUGUUUCCAAAAGGGAUCAACAUCUUGUAUCAGAAUAACUUUGUCAUUGUAAUUGGCUAUGACAUGCCGACAUAGGAGGCCCAAACUUUUCAUGUUAAGACAAACACACUCUCUUCCGUCAAAGUUACCCAACUCAAAGUGUUUCACUUCUUUCAUGAUCAAAUCAAUUGCACGAUGCUACACAUAAAGUAAUUCCAUGAAACCAAGCAUUGUCUUUCCAUUUAAUGUGUCUACUAGAUCAGUUUUUUUCAAAAUGCUCCUUAACUCUAUCGAGAUCACAGAGGAAAUAGGUGUGCAUGGCUUGGAAUACGGUAACAAAUCCACUAUCACCAUUAUGAAGCUUCUUCUUCAACCGGUUGUGAGACGAUUCCACUGUACUUGUAACUUGGUUGUCGAAGUGUCUAUAUUGGUUCGUGAAUGCGGCUACGAACUUCUCUUUGUGUGGAUCCAACCAAUUGUCCACCAAAUAUUUCACCAUAAUUGGAUAACUUCUCAAACUAGCCAAUAACAUACGAGAUGGUUCUUCAUAAUCUUCGACGGUGAUAGAAUAUGCCAUGGCUUCCUAAUCCGCAUGGAAACUAGCCCAUCUUAGUUCCGCCAACUUGUCAUCCUUCUUAAAUUUCUCUUUGGCUUCCUUUUGUUGAUCAACCGGUGGAACGUGCAAAGAAGGUGAUGAGCAUCCGGGAAAAUGCUCGCUAUUGCAUUCAACAAUGCUUGUUCCUUGUCGGUGACAAUCACCUUUGGAGUAUAUCCCUCCACGUAGAAUAACUUCACUUAUUUUAGUGCCCACGCAUAACUCACUUUAAUCUCAUUUUCCAAGAAGCAAAACGCGACACUAAACGGAGAGUUGGUGGAAGUUUGUCCAAUAAUGGUCAACACCGGCAUCUCAUACUUGUUGGUCUUGUACGUGCAAUCCAAUCCAUCAAAAGUACUUGAUUGGAGCACCGCGCAAACUUUAUAAACUCGGGAUGAGCCAAUAUGAGAUUCUUUAUUUGUUGAUCCUCAUCUUCAUCAUGGAAAACCGAAUGGUUGGCAAAGUAGAAACAUUCACUGGUUUUAGGCUCUUUAUAUGACCAAGUAUAUCAAUGGAUUUCAUACGAUUUUCGGUCAUGGAACUUACAAUCAGUUUUUCUCCAAAUACCACACCUUACUAUUCUUGUUAUAUUUAAAUUGAAGCUUGAACGGGCA